GAUGAACGCUGGCGGCGUGCCUAAUACAUGCAAGUCGAGCGAAUGGAUUAAGAGCUUGCUCCUAUGAAGUUAGCGGCGGACGGGUGAGUAACACGUGGGUAACCUGCCCAUAAGACUAGGAUAACUCCGGGAAACCGGGGCUAAUACCGGAUAACAUUUUGAACCGCAUGGUUCGAAAUUGAAAGGCGGCUUCGGCUGUCACUUAUGGAUGGACCCGCGUCGCAUUAGCUAGUUGGUGAGGUAACGGCUCACCAAGGCAACGAUGCGUAGCCGACCUGAGAGGGUGAUCGGCCACACUGGGACUGAGACACGGCCCAGACUCCUACGGGAGGCAGCAGUAGGGAAUCUUCCGCAAUGGACGAAAGUCUGACGGAGCAACGCCGCGAGAGUGAUGAAGGCUUUCGGGUCGUAAAACUCUGUUGUUAGGGAAGAACAAGUGCUAGUUGAAUAAGCUGGCACCUUGACGGUACCUAACCAGAAAGCCACGGCUAACUACGUGCCAGCCGCCGCAGUAA
rnacentral:rRNA from 1 species